rnacentral:rRNA from 1 species
UACGUAGGGUGCGAGCGUUGUCCGGAAUUAUUGGGCGUAAAGGGCUCGUAGGCGGUUUGUCACGUCGGGAGUGAAAACUCGGGGCUUAACUCCGAGCCUGCUUCCGAUACGGGCUGACUAGAGGUAUGCAGGGGAGAACGGAAUUCCUGGUGUAGCGGUGAAAUGCGCAGAUAUCAGGAGGAACACCGGUGGCGAAGGCGGUUCUCUGGGCAACAACUGACGCUGAGGAGCGAAAGCGUGGGGAGCGAACAGG